CGUCACCAUCAGCAAAAAUUCAAUUAUUUAAUACCUCAUUGGCUACAACCAACAGGAAUAACAUUUCAAUUUGAAAUUCUGGCUAUAUUACUGAUCUCAGUUGACUACACCCUACCAAACCGGUCAGAAGACCACGCUCAAGAAAACGACUGCUUCAUAUAAAACCCAUUCCAAAGACCUCAUUCUGCUAUAUUGUUCACAACCAGGAAGACUGAAAACAUCUUAUGGAAAGAGUCCAUCAGAACACCCAGAGAAUUAUCUUUUAAUCUGAUGCUUAGUUUGAUUGCUUCCUCAAACAUCACUGAACACCUUUGUACAUAUAUCCAGAUUAUGACUAAAAUAAACACAAGUACAAUGUAUUUAUGUAUUGUAUCAUGAAAACAAAAUGGCCAAAUUAUGAUGCUAAGAAUUUGUAUAAAUUCAAAUAUAUGGCCUUUUGAUGAAAUAUUUUUAUGUGAUCCAAAUAUUUAAUG